CAGCUUGUUGGUGAGGUAAUGGCUCACCAAGGCGUCGACGGGUAGCCGGCCUGAGAGGGUGACCGGCCACACUGGGACUGAGACACGGCCCAGACUCCUACGGGAGGCAGCAGUGGGGAAUAUUGCACAAUGGGCGCAAGCCUGAUGCAGCAACGCCGCGUGAGGGACGACGGCCUUCGGGUUGUAAACCUCUUUUAGCAGGGAAGAAGCGAAAGUGACGGUACCUGCAGAAAAAGCGCCGGCUAACUACGUGCCAGCAGCCGCGGUAAUACGUAGGGCGCAAGCGUUAUCCGGAAUUAUUGGGCGUAAAGAGCUCGUAGGCGGUUUGUCGCGUCUGCUGUGAAAUCCGGAGGCUCAACCUCCGGCCUGCAGUGGGUACGGGCAGACUAGAGUGCGGUAGGGGAGAUUGGAAUUCCUGGUGUAGCGGUGGAAUGCGCAGAUAUCAGGAGGAACACCGAUGGCGAAGGCAGAUCUCUGGGCCGUAACUGACGCUGAGGAGCGAAAGGGUGGGGAGCAAACAGGCUUAGAUACCCUGGUAGUCCACCCCGU
rnacentral:rRNA from 1 species